rnacentral:rRNA from 1 species
GAAAUUCGGCACAGCUUGUACAGGAUAGGUAGGAGCCUUUGAAACGUGAGCGCUAGCUUACGUGGAGGCGCUGGUGGGAUACUACCCUAGCUGUGUUGGCUUUCUAACCCGCACCACUUAUCGUGGUGGGAGACAGUGUCAGGCGGGCAGUUUGACUGGGGCGGUCGCCUCCUAAAAGGUAACGGAGGCGCUCAAAGGUUCCCUCAGAAUGGUUGGAAAUCAUUCAUAGAGUGUAAAGGCAUAAGGGAGCUUGACUGCGAGACCUAC